AUGAACUCGCCGGAACUCACGACCACGAACGGAAACGCAAGACACACAUUCCUUUUUCCGCCCGCGCUCGCUUACAAUUCUCCUCCGCCAGUGAUGCAUCUCAACUGCAGCAGAAGACUCGUACACCUGAGCUCUUGGACGCACCUUACAAGAACUCAUAUGCAGACCUUGAUGACGGCUCGCAACAUCGCCAUCUCCACCUUGCACCCUCCAACGAUGAUCUCGAUGAUUUUCUCGGUGUCGCAACUUCGGCACCUUCAUAACCAUCAACCAUCACCAACGCCUUGCCGACGACAACCCUGA
rnacentral:rRNA from 1 species